rnacentral:rRNA from 1 species
UAUGAGGGGGGCGAGCGUUGUUCGGAAUUAUUGGGCGUAAAGGGUGCGUAGGCGGUUUGGUAAGUCUCUUGUGAAAUCUAUGGGCUCAACUCAUAGUCUGCAAGGGAAACUGCCGGGCUUGAGUGCGGGAGAGGUGAGUGGAAUUUCCGGUGUAGCGGUGAAAUGCGUAGAUAUCGGAAGGAACACCUGUGGCGAAAGCGGCUCACUGGACCACAACUGACGCUGAUGCACGAAAGCUAGGGGAGCAAACAGG